GUGCAAGCUUCAAGACCUUUUAGAGAUUCCAAGCAGGGCAAGAACUCUUCCAUUUUUUGCACUGCCUCUGUCAGUGCGCCAACAGCGAAAAGUUGUGGUUGUGGUGCCUCCGUUACAUAACUUGGCCUCGACAUAACAGUCGUUGCCAUGACCAUAAACACCACCAAGACAACUUUAGAUGCCAUAAUAUUUAAUAAAUUUUUACUUUUUAAGAAUGUUUAUANAAAGAACCCGAAUCAUUAAACAAUGAAUAAAAUUUGGAUUAAAGCCUUCAAAUCUGGAUCCAAGGAUGAAUUCUUCAUUAUCCGAUGUAAAUUCUCUCUAUUUUCUCCUAAAAUUUGUCUCUCUUUGUUCUGGACGCUCUCUUAUUUAUAGGAUGCCGAGAGAUUGCUUACCAAAAUAAAAUAAGGAAAGAGUUUUUAUCUCAUUUUACACAAAGGCGUGCCUAUGUUGUUUUAGAGUACAAUGGACAAAAUUUUUCUUCGUUAUAAAUUUUCAAUGUUGUCCACUACGCAUGUCCAUAACAAACGUGACAUCCAUGGAUAACAGUUUGUACUUAUGUCAACCGGAUAUAUUGAAAAAUAUCAAAAGAUAUUCCUGCAAAAAUUUGAACAUUCUUCAUUGAAUCGCAAAAUGUUCUAAUUAUUAUUAAAUUUGCAGCAGCUAAAACAAAAUAUAAAAUGUUGUCACAACUGAGUUUUUCAUUUUGCUUUCUUCAUGAUUAGACUUAAACAAGCAAAAUUCCUGUAGUCUGUCAUCCCUUCAAACAUAUAUAGCUCAGAUGCUGGUUGGCGGUUCAGGGGCUAUAAUGCAUUUUUCAACAACGACGGGCAAAUACACCUGGGAUAUAGGAAACCCUUCUCCCACGCAGCUUUUGGCAAAUUGAUUGACAGCUUGGCAGCACGAAGUGUCUAGUGGAAGUCCAAACACUGCUUUAAAAAUGUUCACUGUGCAAGCUUCAAGACCUUUUAGAGAUUCCAAGCAGGGCAAGAACUCUUCCAUUUUUUGCACUGCCUCUGUCAGUGCGCCAACAGCGGAAAGUUGUGGUUGUGGUGCCUCCGUUACAUAACUUGGCCUCGACAUAACAGACGUUGCCAUGACCAUAAACACCACCAAGACAACUUUAGAUGCCAUAAUAUUUAAUAAAUUUUUACUUUUUAAGAAUGUUUAUAUACGGAAGUGCAUGGAAAUGCUUCCAAACUUGGGCCACUUAUAUAUGAGAUUUAUAAUAAUUAAACGCAUUUAGUCUCUAUUUUAAUCCUCUUAACGUUUUCUUGAAUGUUCAUUUAUUUGUAGUAUUAACCAAAGAUAUUCAAUA
rnacentral:lncRNA from 1 species